UUUCUUUUUCUCCCCCGCGCUCUCCCCCUCUCCCUUCCCGCCGGCCCCUCAGCCUCCUCCGCGGCUGGCGAGGCCCGGCCGGAGUUUUCGGCUCCCCGCCCGGGAGCGGGAGGACGAGGAGGCGGAGGCGGAGGGAAGGUGAGGAGGCGAGCAGGGCGCCGUGCCAGGGAGCGGCAUCCAGGACCGUAACUGUGCGGAGGGGGACGCGCCGGCCGAGUGUGCCCGCGACGGGCGCGUACACGUGUCCGUGUGUGUGUGAGAGAGUGUGAGGAGAGGCGAGGAGGAGAGGAGCCUACCAUGCGCUUCCCCCGGCGCGGAUCGCGGGAGAGCCCAAUCACGGGGCGAGCUGGACCCGGCUGUGAUCAUUUAUAAUCCUUGACUCCUCCGCUCCGCCACUUGUCAAGAUGACAGGUGACCCCAGGUAACUGAAACAGCAGAAAGCGGACUGCAAACCAGGGGAACACUGUGCUUUGAAUCCAUCAGCAGCACAUGACACAGUUCUUCACUCCCUCCUCCUGUUCAGUGCUGGAAUUUCUCCACUGGGUGGAUCAAGACUCUGCGGGCAGCCAAGCUACUUAACAGUAUCAGGUCCGAAGGGCUGCAGAGGAGGAGCGAGGAUGGCAGGCAGAGAAAGACAGACAGGAACGACACCUGGACCCAUCGGACACAAGGAGGCUUCCGGAGCAGAGAUGCCACGGCCGGUCCCAGCAGAGCCGUGGCCAGCGGAAGGGGAUGUCAAGUGCCACUGAAAAGCAUGGCCGGUCUCUGCUAAUGUGUCCCCUGUAUUCAAGCUUAUAUUUUGACUAUACUCCCGAAUUUAACAGGAGCAAAAAUAAAUAAGUAAACACAAUUUAAAAGAGCCCUAGACACUGAGUCAGUACCUUUCCAGUGUCUAUUCUUUUUUUUUUUUUUUUUUUGAGACAGAG